CCCAAGUGAGGGCUCCUGACAGAAAGCCAGAGCUGAAGUUUAAAACAAUGGCAUGGAAUGGAAUCCUACACCUCUAAUUGGACAAAACCAGAGGAAAGUAUCAGAACGGGGCAAGAGGACAUCCACAGAGCAAGGAGGCACAGAGGUGGUAGCAGGUUUCAGGAAUCAAUGAAGCAUGGUGAAAGGACCAAGAACUAGCCUGAGGCUGGAGCUGUGCAAGAGGCAAGGUGGGGAUUGGAGGAAUGAACACACCAACCUUUCUCUCCUCCCACCUUCUGAUCUCCUCUGUAUGUCUCCAUUGCCAAAUCAGCCAGAAGCAGAGGGCAAGUGAGCCCACAUGAAGCAGUCCAUGGGUUCAGUUUUGGGGGGGCAUAGAGCUUGGAUCUGAUGGAGGAGAAAAACCAAGAUAACUAGCACAGCUAUUCUUAGCAGUGAAGUUGGCAUUAGUAUUAAUAUUAGUAUUAACCAUUGCAAAUUAAUAUUAUUGCUAUUACCAUUGUGUAUCUCUAGUAACAGGACCUGUUUCUUUUAUUAUAGAUCUGAGUUUUCGGC
rnacentral:lncRNA from 10 species